rnacentral:rRNA from 1 species
CAUGCGGUGGACACUUGCUUGUUGCUUUAGGGGGGUGUUUUUUUGGGGCAACCCGAGGACACCACCCGGCGGCAGGGGAAAGGCCACUGCGGGCGGGGCCCAUUUAUAUUUCUCGAAGACGUCACGGGCCCUUAACUGGUGUACUGUGGUCGCGGAUUCGAGACGUUUACUUUGAAAAAAUUAGAGUGUUUAAAGCAGGCAAUCAAAAACGCUUGAAUACAUUAGCAUGGAAUAAUGGAAUAGGACUUUGGUCUUAUUUUGUUGGUUUCUAGGACUGAAGUAAUGAUUAAUAGGGACAGUUGGGGGCAUUCGUAUUUAAUUGUCAGAGGUGAAAUUCUUGGAUUUAUGAAAGACGAACUUCUGCGAAAGCAUUUGCCAAGGAUGUUUUCAUUAAUCAAGAACGAAAGUUAGGGGAUCGAAGACGAUUAGAUACCGUCGUAGUCCUAACCAUAGACUAUGCCGACUAGGGAUCAGUGGGGAACAAAUCAAAAAACUCCAUUGGCACCUUAUGAGAAAUCAAAGUUUUUGGGUUCUGGGGAAAGUACCAACGCAAGUUGGAAACUUAAAGGAAUUGACGGAAGGGCACACCAGGCGUGGAAUCUGCGGCUUAAUUUGACUCAACACGGGGAAACUCACCAGGUCCAGACAAAAUAAGGAUUGACGGAUUGAGAGCUCUUUCUUGAUUUUUUGGGCAGUGGUGCAUGGCCGUUCUUAGUUGGUGGAGCGAUCUGUCUGGUUAAUUCCGAUAACGAACGAGACCUUAACCUGCUAAAUAGCGACGUCAUUCCUUGUGAAGGACGGAUUUUGACUUCUUAGAGGGACUAUCGGUGACUAACCGAUGGAAGUUUGAGGCGAUAACAGGUCUGUGAUGCCCUUAGAUGUUCUGGGCCGCACGCGCGUUACACUGACAGAGGCAGCGAGUUUUUUUAAAUAUCCUGGCCUGGAAAGGUUUGGGUAAUCUUGUGAAUCUCUGUCGUGAUGGGGAUAGAUCUUUGUAAUUAUCGAUCUUCAACGAGGAAUGCCUUGUAAUCGCGGUUCAUCAAAUCGCGUUGACUACGUCCCUGCCCUUUGUACACACCGCCCGUCGCUACUACCGAUUGAAUGGUUUAGUGAGGUCUCGGGACUGGCGCGGCUUGGCUGUAAAAGGCCGAUCCAUGCUGGGAACUUGCCCAAACUUGAUCAUUUAGAGGAAGUAAAAGUC